rnacentral:misc_RNA from 1 species
UCAAACUUGGUCAUUUAGAGGAAGUAAAAGUCGUAACAAGGUUUCCGUAGGUGAACCUGCGGAAGGAUCAUCAAUGAAUUUCAAAAUUCAUUUUGGCUUUUUGGUGGGUUGGGAAUAAUCCCCCUCCCCUCCAUUUUGCCUUAUCAACCAUCAGUCUCUGUCUAGCCAAGGGUGUCUCGAGAUGCUUUUGUGGCAUCACCCCCGAGCCCUUUGCGAUGGACUUUGACUUUUUGUGAGUAGUUUGGGGCCGGGUUCGCGCUUAGUUUGGCGGGUAUUUUUUAUCUUCCAACAUUACGCAACCCCCUCUCUUACUCGUUACUGUGGGCAACACAUUAAAUUAAAAUACAACUUUUAACGAUGGAUCUCUUGGCUCCCGCAUCGAUGAAGAACGCAGC